rnacentral:rRNA from 1 species
AUGAACGCUAGCGGGAGGCCUAACACAUGCAAGCCGAGCGGUAGAUUACUUUCGGGUAAUUGAGAGCGGCGUACGGGUGCGGAACACGUGUGCAACCUGCCUUUAUCAGGGGGAUAGCCUUUCGAAAGGACUUAGCUUAAAAUAAAAACGUCGAAUCAAAAUAAAAUUUCGCUUUCUGAGCGUUGGCAAAAAAAAUUAAAUCGUCAGGACGAGCGUCGGCAAAUUGUGCAGCGAAAAUUCAAUGU